CACGUCAGUGGACAAACAUUGCAGUGAUGCAGGGAAUGAGACCCUGGGGAGGGAAAGAGAGAGAGUCUAAAAGAGGAAUAGGCUUUAUGACGCUCGCUACUGAAAAGAGAACAAACUGAUCCUGCCAACAAACAUCCUUUGAUGGAGCUGAACUCAAUUGAAUUGAGUCAAAUCUAAUUCCACUGAACUGAAAGCAGGCAGAGAAAGAAAGCCAGAGAGAGAUAUGGAUGGAGGGUGAAAGGAAGAGAGGACCGGGGAAGCGGAUUAGAGUCUCCAGAGAUGUGGCAGUCGUCUGAACAGGUGUUUGUCGAGGGAGAGAGAGAGACACUGGAGUAAACUGAACUGCAGCGGCAGGUUCUCUGUAGGGACAGGCCACACACACACAUACACACACCCUUCAUCCCUGCUAUCCCUGAUAGCGCCUGCCAGUCAGAAGUCGUUCAACGGAGAGGAAGUUCCUAGGAUGCCACUGCCAGAAAAUGCAAGUGUCUGCUAAAGAGAUGGAAGUUACAUCAAAAGCUGAGGAACGAUCCCCCUGGAGUAAAAGGUGAUG